AAGGAGUGGAUGAGUUAUAAAUAUUCCAGUAUCAAAUCUCAUAACAACAUCAUCAUUAAUAAUCUACUCCUUCACAUCCUCCAAAAGGAGAAAAUCGCAACCACAAUCGCAGCAAAAAUCGCCCGUGUAAACGGGCCUCGUAUUUAUUAUAAAAUGAGCUUCGUUUACAACAAUAUACUCGUCUUUACAUUCAAUCCUUGACGAAUCACCUUCUACAAUCACUCUCAAUUUGAAUCAAUCCUUCUUGCGUCAGUCGACUAACUGAUGAUCUAUUGUAUGCAUUGAUUGUAUGUCACUUUGACUGUUCCAAUCAUAUUAUAUUGCACGUUUUAAGUUAUGAAUUAAUUACAAAUUAUUCUACAGACUUCUUCUUAACUUUACAUGCAUGCAUUAGUCCAUUAGUUGAUGUUAAAGUGUGUAGCGAACAUGUUAACUUACACAGGCAAUGACAAAGACUAGGUGGAUUUUCGUUGCAGAAUAUUCAGUUCCUUUGUCUCCUAUAUUUUUUUCGUAUCAGAAGAAUAUUUUACGUUACAGUUUUAAACGUAAGAGUA